rnacentral:tRNA from 1 species
AGAAAUUUAGGUUAACUAAACCAAGGGCCUUCAAAACCCUAAAAGGGAGUAUCAUACUCCCAAUUUCUG